rnacentral:rRNA from 1 species
GAUGAACGCUGGCGGCGUGCCUAAUACAUGCAAGUCGAGCGAACAGACGAGGAGCUUGCUCCUCUGACGUUAGCGGCGGACGGGUGAGUAACACGUGGAUAACCUACCUAUAAGACUGGGAUAACUUCGGGAAACCGGAGCUAAUACCGGAUAAUAUAUUGAACCGCAUGGUUCAAUAGUGAAAGACGGUUUUGCUGUCACUUAUAGAUGGAUCCGCGCCGCAUUAGCUAGUUGGUAAGGUAACGGCUUACCAAGGCGACGAUGCGUAGCCGACCUGAGAGGGUGAUCGGCCACACUGGAACUGAGACACGGUCCAGACGCCUACGGGAGGCAGCAGUAGGGAAUCUUCCGCAAUGGGCGAAAGCCUGACGGAGCAACGCCGCGUGAGUGAUGAAGGUCUUCGGAUCGUAAAACUCUGUUAUUAGGGAAGAACAAAUGUGUAAGUAACUAUGCACGUCUUGACGGUUACCUAAUCAGAAAGCCACGGCUAACUACGUG